UAGGCACGCAGAUCGGGUAGCGACAGCGCUCUCUGCUCAAUUAAAAUUCAUUUCACGACACUGCCCGAUUUGUUCUGCGCAUGUCGAAUGUUUUACGACACACGAGAAAUAAAGUUACCACGGGAUUUUAAUUUCUCGGUCUGCAUUAACAAAUAGAACUUCUGCCAUUCGAGUGAGAAGGAGAAAGAACAACGCUGUAAAGAAUAGGAGCAUAUUGAAUUUUUUUCCUGGCAGAAGAAUAUUUUUCACUUCUUGAAAAAAUGAAGACUUUUCAAUUUUACAACGACUUGAAAGAAUAUCUUUUCGGGUUAGAAUUUAGCAACAAUUUAACGGUCAGAGAGCUAAGUGAAAUACGACGUGUUCGUGAAUUUUAUGAUUAAAGUCCAUCAUCCAUGCCCUGGCUGCUCUACAGGGUGUAUCAGGACAGGAGGCAGAAGACUUAUUUGUUGGUGGCCCAGAAUACAGUUUCAGUGAAGUGGAAGAAUUUAACCGAAAGAUAGGGCAGCAAUUAAAGAAGGAGGGAAUGCUGUGAUAUCUGUUGGAAUAGAAGAUGGUGCUACUGCCCAGUGCUUCCAGAAUCCUUCAUUUGAGUCUUGGGUCUGAAUCUACGGCGUCAUUGCCAAGUAUUCUGGGUGAUGCCCUUUGCCAUGCACCUUGGUCAAGUCUUGUGCAACUGACUGUGGUGCUGAAGAGAGAAGAUUUCUGAAGACCCUCUUGAAGUGGAGCUGCAAUUGGAUUAACACCACAACAGUAUGCUUACUGAGAAUGUCCACAGGGGCCUGGGGAGGCUGUGACCUUGUGACCCUGAGACGUUGUUUUGUCAAUCAUCCUGACCAACUGGACCUUUAUGUGUUCUUCAACAGGGCCAUCUGACCAGCAGAUAUAUUUAAGGAGAAGGACCUUUCAAUUUUCCUCUUGUGUACUUUUUAAUUGUAUAUAUAUUUUUUCGUUUUCAUAAAGUUAUAUAUAUUUGUUAAGCAGUUUAGCAGUUUGGGCUUUAUUAGUAUUAAAAUAUGUUAGAGAAGUUAUUUGUGGAAUAAUUUUAAUGAUCAAAAUAGCAAAAAAUGUAACUUUAAAUUUUCUGUGCUCUGGGUAAAAUAUGUUAAAGCUAUGUGGUGAUUUUUUACAAUUUUUUUUUUUGUACAUUUGAUAUGUUUUUUUUAGGUGCAUUGUUCUCACAUUGUUCACUUUUGUUGUUCUCAUAACAUUUAUUCAAUAAAAUUUGCAUGAAAAGUGU